GCCUCCGUGGUCAAGUGGGUAACACACUAGGUUUGCACUCUGGAGAUCCCGGGUUUGAUUCCCAGCAGGGUCG
rfam:Asian citrus Psyllid, Diaphorina citri - Florida Strain, whole genome shotgun sequence.